rfam:Glaciecola pallidula DSM 14239 = ACAM 615 DNA, contig: CTG018.
GCGGGAAUAGCUCAGCUGGUAGAGCACGACCUUGCCAAGGUCGGGGUCGCGAGUUCGAAUCUCGUUUCCCGCU